GACGAACGCUGGCGGCGUGCUUAACACAUGCAAGUCGAACGAAGUGGCGAACGGGUGAGUAACGCGUAAUCAACCUGCCCUUCAGAGGGGGACAACAGUUGGAAACGACUGCUAAUACCGCAUAAUGAAGGAGGGGAUUGCGGCGGAUUAGCUAGUUGGAGGGGUAACGGCCAACCAAGGCGAUGAUCAGUAGCCGGUCUUGGAGGAGGACAGGCCACAUUGGGACUGAGACACGGCCCAGACUCCUACGGGGGGCAGCAGUGGGGAAUCGUCCGCAAUGGACGAAAGUCUGGAGGAGGAAAGCCGCGUGAGUGAAGAAGGUUUUCGGAUCGUAAAGCUCUGUUGUUAAGGAAGCGGUACUUAACCAGAAAGGGACGGCUAACUACGUGCCAGCAGCCGCGGUAAUAC
rnacentral:rRNA from 1 species